UUUGUUUGUUUGUUUGUUUGUUUGUUUUGUUUUUUGUUUUUCUGUUGGUUUCUGAGACAGGAUUUCUCUGUGUAGCCCUGGCUGUCCUGGGACUCACUCUGUAGACCAGGCUGGCCUCGAACUCAGAAAUCCGCCUGCUUCUGCCUCCGCCUCCCGAGUGCUGGGAUUAAAGGCGUGAGCCACCACUUGGUGAGCUGUAUCAUUUCUUAUUUUUCUGGCUUUUAGACUUGGUGACAAAAGCUCUGAUGUAAUUCUGCUGUUUCUGUCUCAGUGUGUUAGUUUGGGAUUUCCUUUACAAUGUUUAUUAUUGUUAUUGUUGUUGUUGUUGUUGUUGCUUUGUAUUUUUGAUAUAUUGACCAUACAUCACAGAGAGCUUCUUUCUGGUCAUGUCUCUUUGAGGAUGGAAAUGUUCCCUUUGUUUGAAUGUUUGUUCUUUUCUUUAGGUCAGUAAAUUCCUAGUUAUAAUUUCACUGAAAAACAUGUCUAAGCCAUUGGCUUUUAUCUCAGGUUUCCUUCUACCGGAGUUUAUCAGUGUAUCCUAAACUUUCUGGAAAUUUGGUCAUGCUCAUUGAUAUAUAUAUUUUUUUUUCCUUGCAGAUUUUUUCCUCCAAAGAACACUGACUUAAGUUCUUUUUCCAUGUCUUGAAUUAAAUUCCUUACCUGUAUGAGUCCUCUACAUGACCUUUAAACCUUUUUAAAAUAGGAGUCUACACUCUUUCCAGUGAUUGAGCUAGCUCAUCAUCUUUGUUUGCUUGUUUCCGUUGUGGAGAGGCUGUUAGUAUGUGCGUUUGUUGGGGUGAUGGCUCCUGUUUCUUGUGAGGUUUUGGUGUGGUGUUCUGUUCACCUGUUGGGAUGUGUUCUAAUUUGCUCUCUAUUGAAAAACACCAUAAUAAAAAAACAAUUUGGCGAGGAAAGGGUUUGUUUGGUUUACAAGCUCAGACCACAGUCAGUCAUUGAGGGAAGUCAGAGAGGAACUGGUGGGCUGAGCCCUUCCACAUCAACCACCGACCAGGAGAAUGCCACACAGACUUGCCUCCAGGCCAGUCUGAUGGAAAUAGAGUCUCAGCUGAGGUUUCCUCUUCCCAGAUGACUAGCUUGUGUCAAGUUAACAAAAGAAAAACCAACUCGGAGUGUAUGUGUCCUCUGGCUUGUAAGUUUGUAUCUCCUUUAAUACUGUUUUUGUUUCUGUGACCAUUCCAGGUGGGCUGUCUUCACUUGAAUUUAUAUGUUUAGUGGUAGGAUUGACUGUGGUAACAAUUAUGAUGGUUUAACAGACAUCUCAGUGUCAGACACAAGGAAAGAUUACUCUGCUCCUGUCUCCUGUAAGGUUUUGAAAGGGGAGUGGUAGGGUACUGGUCGGGGAAAAUGCACAUUUUAAAUAACGGGGUAAAAGUGGAUCAGGUAGGAGUACGGGGAGCAUAUGGAUCAGGAGUAUGAAAAGCAGGAGAGAGGAGGACGGGACAGCAGCUUUUUCCAGCAAAUGAUAACUUAUAACUUAGCUUUUUGUAUCUUAAAAUACAAAAAUGUACAUUCUAAGGAAAAAAUUUUAAAUAACAAAAUUAAAUGAUGUGUGUAUCUUUAAAGAUAAACAUCUAAAUGAGCAGUAAGCUGAAAUUGAUAUAUUCCAUGGAUGUGUUUUUAGUCAGAAUUUCUUCCUGGUUUGCAGGAGAGCCGACUCCCCAAGUUUACUUCAGCUGUCUCUCUGGGCACUACAACAAGCUUAGUGAUACUCCUCAGAGUUGGGUUUUACCUGUCCUGCUGCGUGGCUAGGCAGAACUCCUUGUCCUCCUUCCAGUCUCUGCAUUCUAAGUAUCUUGGAACCUAGAGUUUGCGUAUGGAUGUAAUUCCCCAGUCUGCUCACAAAGCUCUCUCUCCUGCUUCGUGUGCGUGCAAGCCUCCCAACUUUGGUGUCCCUUACCCAUGACAAGCGGGUUGUGAAACCUCUUCACUGAGGGCCACCACUUUAGGUCAGCUUCUGCAGUGUUGCUGGGAUAGUCAGCCCUCAUCUCAGGAGACCCUUGCUUUUAGUUUUAGAGUUGUGGUGAUGUUUCUCUGCUCGGCUGGUGGUAGUUGGAGUACCGCUUGAACUCCAGUAUGCUUUACCAACCUUGCCUGCAUACUGCUUUCCAUGAUCAAAGACUACAGGGGAGCUGGGAUGCUCUUCUGCCUGGGUUUUCAUUUCCCCCACACCACACUCCUUCUCAUCAGAGAACCCUAGUUAACACCUGUGUUGAUUCUGUUUUCUACACGUAAUAUUUUGCUUUUAGGAGCUUUUAUUCUUUUUUCCUAUUGUAUGUAAGAUUCCCCUUUUUAGUACAUUUGAUCUUUAUUAAUGAUGCAUUGCCGUUCAUGCUCUGCUUCCUGGUGGUGAGAUCAGCCCAAUCACAAGAGAUCCCAACCCUUGGAUCCUGAGAGGGGAGGCAAGGCAGGACUGUCGGGUGGGUGGGCAGCAGAUUCAGUGAGACAGCUCAUUUUAAUAGGCCAACAAAGGCUGUUUUAAGCGUGUGCGGGUUGAGUAGAGGCUGUGGGGGGUAAGUGUACUUCAUUGGCCUGGGCCAGAGUGCUGGGAAUGCUCCAUUUGCAUAAGGAGGAAUUCCGUGUGCCACCGGACAUGACCUGAGGAAGAAGGAGCUUCACCUGGCUAUGGGCCAGGUGUCUUCUUCAAAGACAAGGGUAGCGGUGCAGGGCUGUGUGCACCAGGCCAUGCAACCAGUCCUACUCCUGCUGAUCUCAGGAGUACAUCUCCCUGGGAUUUGGACAUGGCUUGGCCCCACACUUGCUUUGGUUUUUCAAGUCCUGGUUUCCCUGUGUAGCCCUGGCCCUGGAACCACUCUGUAGACCAAGCUGGCCUAGAACUCAGAUCCAACUGCCUCUGCAUCCGGAGUUGCUAGGACUGGGGGCGGGCACCACCACCAUCAUCAUCUUGUUAUCUCUAAUAUGGUCGGUCUUCUUUUCUGUAACUUCUUUUCUUUGACUGAAUCUUAGUUGCUGUUGGUUGGUCAGGCUCUUCCAUUGCUACCACCUCCCUUGUUUCCAUCCUAUAUUUUACUUCAGUUAAGUAUUUUGUAACUGAAAUGCUUCAGUAAUUUUUCUUUCAAAAUAACCUCUUUCUGCUCAUACUUGAUGGUUUCUUUCCUGAUUAAGUUUUGGUUGGUUGGUUGGUUGGUUGGUUGGUUGGUUGGUUGGCGGAGAGUUUGUUUUUGUUUGGGGUGGGGUUUUUCUUUUUUUAAUAUUGACUGGCUUAAAAUUUUUCCAUACUAUAUAUUUUGAUCAUAUUAUUUCCUUUCCCCCAGUUACACACGUAUUCUUCCUACCCACCUAAUUUUAUGUUCUUCCUUUCAAAAUACAAAAACAAAAAUAAAACAAGUACAAACAAAAUGAUAAAAAUACCAAAACAAAAAGCAUGGAGUCCAUUUAGUGUUGGCCAGCUACAGAGCAUGGUGCCUGCCUUAGAGUAUGAAUAUAGCCAGUUCUACUCCAUUAAGGGAAACCCGAUUAGCCCGUAUUAAUUCUUGGUUAAGGGUGGGAGUUUAUGUCUGUUUACUCUCCCUGCUUGGAUUUUGUCUGGCUUGAAUUUGUGCAGGUCUUGUGUAUGACAUCACAGCCAUUGUACAUCUGUCGAGUUGUGUCAAGAAGGUACUGUUUCCUUGGAGUUUUCUACCAUGUCUGGCUCGUACAGUGGUUCCAAUUCUUCUUCCAUAUAGGACCUUGAAGGGGAAGGUUUGAUAGAGACUCAGUACUCCAGGGCUGGUGAGAUGGCUCAACGGUCAAGAGCACUGAAUGCUCUUAGGAAGGUCCUGAGUUCAAAUCCCAGCAACCACAUGGUGGCUCACAACCAUCUGUAUAGCUACAGUGUACUCAUAUACAUAAAAUAAGU
rnacentral:lncRNA from 1 species